rnacentral:rRNA from 1 species
CCUACGGGUGGCAGCAGUGAGGAAUAUUGGUCAAUGGACGAGAGUCUGAACCAGCCAAGUCGCGUGAAGGAUGACUGCCCUAUGGGUUGUAAACUUCUUUUAUAUGGGAAUAAAAUGUUCCACGUGUGGGAUUUUGUAUGUACCAUAUGAAUAAGGAUCGGCUAACUCCGUGCCAGCAGCCGCGGUAAUACGGAGGAUCCGAGCGUUAUCCGGAUUUAUUGGGUUUAAAGGGAGCGUAGGUGGAUUGUUAAGUCAGUUGUGAAAGUUUGCGGCUCAACCGUAAAAUUGCAGUUGAAACUGGCAGUCUUGAGUACAGUAGAGGUGGGCGGAAGUCGUGGUGUAGCGGUGAAAUGCUUAGAUAUCACGAAGAACUCCGAUUGCGAAGGCAGUUCACUGGACUGCAACUGACACUGAGGUUCGAAAGUGUGGGUAUCAAACAGGAUUAGAUACCCUUGUAGUC